AAAACAUUUUCCAAAAAACACCAUAUGUAAAUCUUUCUUACUCUCUCUAUAAUGCUCCAUUAAUCUCCUUACGAGAUGAAUAACUUAUAUAGUUAAACUCCCCAACAUGAAUCCAAAUUGGUUCUCGGUAAUAGACACGCUCAUGAACUACAUGCUUUAGCUUAUGCACUUGAAGGUGGCCUUGUCUAUACCAAUUUGUCAAUGUUUUUUCUGAUUUUUACAGGUUAUGCAUUCUUGUAUGUUUCCAUGUGGUGGCAGGGGGUUUAAAGUCAUGAUGUUACUAGGCGCAAAAGAUACAAAGUGGGAGUUAUCCUUAGGAGAAGAACGUAAUGGUUUCUCUGUUCAAGUCGAGGAAAGGGGGCCAUAAGAAUCGAACACACACCUGUUGCAUGGAGACUUGAACAGAUACUACUAUGCUAUAAGCCUUGGUAUUAUGAGUAGCUAACAACUCAAGUCCUGGCUUUCUGAUUUAACUCGAAAUUUUGUUGUUUGGGAAGCAAGAUACAUCUAUGACUUACAUACUUCUGUAUAAUUUUAGCAAAGUGCUGCACUUGAGUCUCCUUCAUUUCCAUUGGCAUUUCAUGAGAUUUUCACAUCAAGAGAUUGUGAUGUCCUAUGAACUCAUGUCCUUUCUUAAUCUAGGUUUUAUUUGCUUUUAACUAUCUUUUAACAUUUUCUCUGCUGUUUUUCUCUUAGGAUUUAGCUAAGCUUUCUGCAUAUAGGGACAGAAGGUUUCCAGGAACGCAAGAAGAAUUUGAAGAUGCUUUGUUAAGGUCGAUAGCUGUUUAUAUGGGGAACAUGUCUUUCUACACAACAAAGGAGCAAGUAUAUGAGCUGUUCUCUCGUGCUGGAGAGAUUAAAAAGAUAGUGAUGGGAUUGGAUAAGAAUUCCAAAACUCCUUGUGGAUUCUGCUUUGUAAUGUAUGAGCUGAACUUUCUUUCAGUCUCCAAUUUCUUCCAUUUUGUGUUGCUAACUUUCAAUAUGAUAGUUUCUUCUCCAGUUAUGGUACACCUGCUCCAGGUUAACUAGUUCUCUCUAGUUCUAUUUCUGUCUACUUGUUCAUUAAGGUUUUCAUUUUAUGUAUUUUUACAUUUGUCAUGCCACCUAACAAAUUUAAGAAUCACGUCCUCCAUUUUUAAUCUUUCAAGAUAAUCAGUCAACUGUUACCCGUGGUGUCUUGAUAUUUAGAUGACAAAUUUACAAGGAACUUAAGAAGUAUGCUGAAGAUUAUUAUAGGAGCUGAUACUACAAUCAUUAUAUGUUCAGUAUAGUGUUUAUUAUGAUUUGACGUGCUCUCCUAGCAUAUUAUAUUCAAUCUGAAUCCAUUAGAUGCAAUCAAGACCACAGAGGUUCUCCAAGUGAGGACAAGAUAACUGGUAGAGGCAAGGGAUCAAUAUAAUUUUCUUUUUCUUUUUUUUUUUUUUGUGGGAAAUUGGCUGUCUUAGAGUACAGCCAAUGACAUGGGCAGAAGGCAAGACAGAUAUCUGCUGAAAAUAGUGGAUGAACCUUGUCUUUUACACGAGGCUGAACAUUGGUUCCAGUUGUUCUUUGGUUCAAACAUACUGCAUGAGUAGAAGAUUCGAUAUACAGGGUUCAAGUUGAGAGGUGCUAUUAAGUUGUGUUGAGAUAGGAUGAUACAGAGGUGGUUGAGAGUGAACAAUGGAUCUAGAUGUAUGAGGAGUGAAUUCUUUUUAUAAGCACCACGAUGGUAUUAGGUGUAUUUUUUUUCUUUUUUGGGAUGAAGGUGUACGUUGUAGUUUGUUACAUCUAUAUCUUUUGAGUUUAUCUCCCAUUAGGCCAGUACCCCCUUUCUCUGGUACAAGUGGAAAAAAGCUAAAGCAGAAAA